rnacentral:rRNA from 1 species
UACGGAGGGUGCAAGCGUUAUCCGGAUUUACUGGGUUUAAAGGAUGCGUAGAUGGUGGAGCAAGUUGUUAGUCCAUGUCAAGCUCAACUUGACGGAAUCUAGCAAUACUACUUUACUCUGAGGGCAAGAGAAGUUAACGGAAUUCGGUGUGGAGCGGUGAAAUGCAUUGAUAUAUCGAGGAACACCAAAAAAGGCGAAGGCAGUUAACUAUUUUGAUCCUGACAUUGAGGCAUGAAAGCUGGGGGAGCAAAAAGG